ACUUAAUAUUGUUCUAUUCCUCCUGCUGAGACAAGCGUCCAUGGCCUAAUGGUAGAGUAUCGGGCUAAAGUUCUUGAAG
rnacentral:lncRNA from 1 species